rnacentral:rRNA from 1 species
AUGAACGCUAGCUACAGGCUUAACACAUGCAAGUCGAGGGGCAGCAUGGUCUUAGCUUGCUAAGGCCGAUGGCGACCGGCGCACGGGUGAGUAACACGUAUCCAACCUGCCGUCUACUCUUGGAUAGCCUUCUGAAAGGAAGAUUAAUACAAGAUGGCAUCAUGAGUCCGCAUGUUCACAUGAUUAAAGGUAUUCCGGUAGACGAUGGGGAUGCGUUCCAUUAGAUAGUAGGCGGGGUAACGGCCCACCUAGUCUUCGAUGGAUAGGGGUUCUGAGAGGAAGGUCCCCCACAUUGGAACUGAGACACGGUCCAAACUCCUACGGGAGGCAGCAGUGAGGAAUAUUGGUCAAUGGGCGAGAGCCUGAACCAGCCAAGUAGCGUGAAGGAUGACUGCCCUAUGGGUUGUAAACUUCUUUUAUAAAGGAAUAAAGUCGGGUAUGGAUACCCGUUUGCAUGUACUUUAUGAAUAAGGAUCGGCUAACUCCGUGCCAGCAGCCGCGGUAAUACGGAGGAUCCGAGCGUUAUCCGGAUUUAUUGGGUUUAAAGGGAGCGUAGAUGGAUGUUUAAGUCAGUUGUGAAAGUUUGCGGCUCAACCGUAAAAUUGCAGUUGAUACUGGAUAUCUUGAGUGCAGUUGAGGCAGGCGGAAUUCGUGGUGUAGCGGUGAAAUGCUUAGAUAUCACGAAGAACUCCGAUUGCGAAGGCAGCCUGCUAAGCUGCAACUGACAUUGAGGCUCGAAAGUGUGGGUAUCAAACAGGAUUAGAUACCCUGGUAGUCCACACGGUAAACGAUGAAUACUCGCUGUUUGCGAUAUACUGCAAGCGGCCAAGCGAAAGCGUUAAGUAUUCCACCUGGGGAGUACGUUCGCAAGAAUGAAACUCAAAGGAAUUGACGGGGACCCGCACAAGCGGUGGAGCAUGUGGUUUAAUUCGAAGCAACGCGAAGAACCUUACCAAGUCUUGACAUCCGCCUGACCGAUCCUUAACCGGAUCUUUCCUUCGGGACAGGCGAGACAGGUGGUGCAUGGUUGUCGUCAGCUCGUGCCGUGAGGUGUCGGCUUAAGUGCCAUAACGAGCGCAACCCUUGUUGUCAGUUACUAACAGGUUCCGCUGAGGACUCUGACAAGACUGCCAUCGUAAGAUGUGAGGAAGGUGGGGAUGACGUCAAAUCAGCACGGCCCUUACGUCCGGGGCUACACACGUGUUACAAUGGGGGGUACAGAGGGCCGCUACCACGCGAGUGGAUGCCAAUCCCCAAAACCUCUCUCAGUUCGGACUGGAGUCUGCAACCCGACUCCACGAAGCUGGAUUCGCUAGUAAUCGCGCAUCAGCCACGGCGCGGUGAAUACGUUCCCGGGCCUUGUACACACCGCCCGUCAAGCCAUGGGAGCCGGGGGUACCUGAAGUGCGUAACCGCGAGGAGCGCCCUAGGGUAAAACUGGUGACUGGGGCU